UCUUCCGUACAGUGAGGGCACAGAGUUUUGUUUCUGUCUCCAACCAGCUCCAGACAUGGAGGAAUAUGCAGCCCCCUAAGCAGGUGCAGGUAAGGGCAAGAGGAGAGGGUCUUUUUAAAAAAAAUUAGCAUCAAUUAGAUGUACAUGAGGUUUGAUUGUAACAUGUCCAUUCAUGUAUACAAUGUCUCUUGAUCAGUCAUCCCUUCAUUCUCCUCCCUUCCUCCCCUCUCCCCUUCCCACAUCAUGACUUUCUCUUCACUAUUCCAUUUUAACAUAAAGCUGACCAUAUGUGCCGUCCUUCCUCCUCUCCAUUUAUCUAUUCCCCUCACCCAACUAGCUCCUACACUCUAGACAGGACACAUUUCAAUUUCCUAAUAUUCUUGUUAAUAUGCAUGUUAAUUGUUCUGCUAACAUACAUACUUAGAUGUAUCUUACAUGUAUGCAUGAUCCUAUAUGAGUUUAUAGGUGUGUUUUUACCUCGUAGAUCUAGCUUCCACAUGAGGAAAGACAUGCAACCUUUGUCUUUCUGAACCUGGCUUAGUUUAACAUGAUGGAUUACAGAUCUAGCCAUUUCCCCGUAAACAACAUAAUUUCAUUCUUUUCUAUGGCAAAUACUCAUGUGUGUGCAUGGAGUGGGGGUAAUGACAUUUUCUUGAUGUAUUAAUCAGUUCUAGUGCAUCUUGGCUGUUUACAUAGCUUGGCUAGAAAGGCCCAAUUCUUGUCAUGCCCCCAGGAUCAGGGGGCCUCCAUUCUCGUCCUAGCCUCCCCCUCUAACAUGUCCAGAAGUCUCAGGCAUGGUGCCAGGAACCCUCUUGGCAUGGCUGGACCUUGUCUCCUUAUUUAACCUCUUGCCUGGCACAGACGGGAUAUCUGGUGCGCAAGUGGUAGCUUCCACCAAGACUUGCUUUCCAAAUGCCAGGGAACAGUCUCCUGUGAGCAGGCACAGUGGCAUGUGGUGUGGACUGUGCAAACAAGGCAGACAUGAAUGGCAGAUGCCUCUGAUUCAGGAGAGGAUGGACAGUAAGGCAGGCCCAUCGGCAGGGAGAGGAAACAUCAUCUAUAUCAUAACAGUCUCCUCUGAGCCUUUAGCAGAUGCCUGAGGUAAGUGGCAGGCAGAACAGUGAUGGGGAGGAAGGGGCACAGAGAUAAAGUAGGACUUGUCUGGUCACACAGAGGAUGGGAGGGUGUGGUCAGAGUCUCUGAGCACUGAGGAGAUGGGAGAGCAGAGAACUAGACCUUGGUGGAGGUUUGGCACUGGCAGCUUCCUAAGCUCCGCUCAUGGGGAAGGGGAGAAUAUUCCCAACACAGGAAGGACAGGAAAGGACUUAGCUUCAAGGCCAAGUGGGCAGUGAGGGUUCAGGGCCAGUAUUAGCUCAGUCCAGGACAGCUGUCCAACUACGCACACAUACACCCCACCUCAGCUAAGUUGUCCUGGCCCUGCUCCUAGACAAACAGACAGACUAGACCACUGGAGCUUCUUCGCACAGAGGGUACCCCUCUACCCACAGCCAAACCCAAAGGGGAGUAGGCUGACAGCUCAGAGUAGGGAUAAGCUAAGCACAAGUCACCCUGAAAAAGGAGGCACCAAGACAGCUGGGGAAGCUGUGUAUCUUUUCUUCUUGUCUUUUUGGUAUCCCUAUGAUCUCUAGUUUUCUUCUGUGGCCUUCUAAAAUAGCCGUUAAUUAAAGUCUGGUAAUUAACUUUCUGGUUCAAAUAAUAUUUUGCAAAGGAAUUCCAUUACAGAGUUGAUUUGCAUAUCCUCAGAUAUGGGACCAGGAAAUGGGCAAGGCUAUCUGGGGAGAAUGGAAAGGUCCCACGGUACCUCUCAGGCUGGUAGCAGGGCCUGAAAUGAGGGGUGGGGUCAGAGAGCUACUACCUGGGAAAGUCUCUCCAAGUGAGCUGCUUAUUCACAAGACCAGCCAGCUCAGUAUCCACAUGCCCAGACAGAAACUGCACAUGUGCACUCAGGUAUGCAUGUGGGCUCCAAAGUAUAAAACACACCAUACACACAGCACAACAGACCAUAUAUAAACAUACACACAUAUGUACACAAAAAAGAUAAUAAUAAUAAUGGUAUUCAACUUACUGAGUACUUAGAUUGACUCAUUUGCUUAUAUUUAACCUUACAGAAAUAACUACUUUAUAUGGUCCAGUCAACCCAACAUCACAUCACAUUGGUCUAUUCCAAACACUUUUCAUAUACUAACCUCAUCUAAAAUGGACAGGGAAGGAACUGAUGGCUCAUGCCUAUAAUCCUAGCUAAUCAGGAGACUGAGAUCUAAGAAUCAAAGUUUGAAGCCAGCCUAGGCAGGAAAAGUCCAUGAGAUUCUUAU